rnacentral:rRNA from 1 species
UACCGGCGGGUAUUUUGGGUCACCACCGCACUCGACUUGCCGCGGCUAGGUAAAAGAAGGAGAAGCUGUCCUCUGUUCGGGUAAUGGGGGGAAGGACAAGGAGGGCGGCGACGAUAGCACGUUCUUGAACCAUGGUCUCUCACACACACACUCUCUCUCCUUGCUAAGCAGCCACGGUACCGCGGCGGCUUCUCCGUCGACCGGGACUGCCCGCGGCCGCGUCCGGCCCUCCUCCGCUUCGCGGACGCGCAGCCCCAGCGGUUUCGGUUGCGGCGGCCGACCGCACGCGGCUGUAGCGGCCGGAGCGGCCCCUGCGCCGAGUACGCCGCCUGGCACGAGCAGCACGAGAAAGAUGACGCUUACUCGCUGCCCUAGUGCCACUGCCUUUCGUAGAGGGUCUAACCAGCGUACCAAGUCUCCUUCUACCUUCCCUAAGUCUUCCAAGUCCGAGAAUACUACGCGUUUAACCUUUUAAAUCUCCUCUUUCACCUCUCGUACUCGGUACUUCACUUCUUUAACCGUGCAAACGUAAGGUUAUCUGUGCGGCUAUUUAUGGGUUCUAGUCUUGGUAUAGUCCUCCCACGGUGAAACUCACUUGGCUUACGGUUGUAAGCGGACGCAAAGGACCUACCGGAGUCCUGAGGUUAAAUGUGUCUGUUCUAAUAUUGUAGAGUCUCGUUACGCCGAUAGUCCCAACCGCAGAAACUACCACUUUUUUACUAGUUACUUCCGGGCGAAAGCUUCCGCUUUCAACUCUAGGACCAAGAGGCACCGCUGAAGACGUCACUGCCAGUCCUCUCGACCUGACUUCUCCUCAAGUUGUCGGUGUAUCGCGUUCCGGCCGUGUCCGUUCCCAGUCACGACCCCCCGCUAACGUCACGCACCAACUUGUUACCCCUCCGUAGUAACCCUUUUUAGGCGAAGUCUCUUCCUAGUAGGUCCUGAGGGUCAUCCUUCAAGUAGCAGCCUCCUUCUCACACGUACUUGUCCUUCUAGCCACCAUAAGCUCAGGUCCUUCGACAGUACCUCGGCCAGUGACACGACCUAGCAUCCUUACUUCGUUUACUCUUCUCUGUGGGAGGUUCUAACCUGCUACUUCAGAUAGCGGACCUUCUUUAGAGGUCUCUACCUUAAAUGGUGUCCUCCGAAUUCUUACAAGUAUAGAAGUGUCACCUCCUGAAGAACUUCCGAAACUUAUUCCUGCGUCUGCACGAGGCACUUUACCAGGAGCUCUAGUUCUUCGCGUCAUUGCGAACCCUUUCUUACCAAUUCGUACGGUCCCUUACGACGGAGCGUCUGUCCGGACUCGAGUUUCGUAUAGUGUCACAUCUCCCCUUACACCACUAGAAGAAGUUAACGCACGUACUAGAACAACCUCGUUAAAAAAUACCACAAAUGCAAAGUGCCCUGUUAAAACUAGGCCGAUUCUUCCGAGUUCGCAUACUCAACUUUCUCACACGCGCGCCAGUCAACCUGUAGGAAGGCAAACUGAUACACUACUUACCGUUAGAAGGACUUGUUCAAGGGAGAUCGUGUGUAAGAUGAGACCUACGUCGUAAGUAAGAACCCGGCCUACAGCGCGAAGUUGGUUUACUUUUGGUCAACGUCCUAUCCUAGUUGUUAUAGUGACUUGGUAGAGUGGUCUUACUCAUAUAAGUACCACUAGUCUCGUGUCAAUUGUGUGUAAUAAAGGUUCCUCUUUCAUAAGAUGGUCAACCAGUCGUCGUUGGAUGUUAAAAGUGACCACUUAACGAUGUGACCGGGAUGCUUUCUAGUCCAGUUCACUUGUAGGUAUCGGUCUACGUUCGAGGGUACAGGUACCUACCGCCUCCACAGUAUGUCCGUAGUUGCAGACAAGUCGUGUUGGAAGAUGGUGUUAAUAAACAAGGAUGAGUUCAGGUUCUUUCGUACGUACGGUAGGUAAUGAGACUCUUAGGUGGAUUGGUACGACAACCUGGUAGCUGUACCGUGCUACUAUAAAUAGGGACUUGGCCUCGGAUCGCGGUUAGAUAAAGGGCCUGGCCUAAUACCUUCGAAGAUCGUUCGCUUGUGAAAGGUGUUACGUCAAAUCUGGCACAUGGUAGUACCAACACACAACACACAGUGAUAUUGAAUCCACAGUCCAACACUAUAUGCUCAUCAUAAUGAAAGUCAGAGUUCGUAACAUUUGACAUACAAACCUGUGUUUUAACGAACGGGGAUAAGAAAGGAUAAUCUACAAAAGUUGUAACAUGUUACUACAGCACACCCUAGAUUCCCACACAACAUUGAAUCCGUUUUGUAAAACAACAGACGCGCGGGUGAAUACAAAUUAACUACAAAUAUACAAAA